rnacentral:rRNA from 1 species
UGGGGAAUAUUGGGCAAUGGGCGAAAGCCUGACCCAGCGACGCCGCGUGGGUGAUGAAGGCCUUCGGGUUGUAAAGCCCUGUCAUGCGGAAAGAACAGUCCCGUAACGAAUAAUUUCGGGAUUUGACGGUACCGCAGGAGGAAGCACCGGCUAACUCCGUGCCAGCAGCCGCGGUAAUACGGUGGGUGCAAGCGUUGUUCGGAAUUUUUUUGCGUAAAGGGCGCGUAGUCGGUAAUGAAAGUCAGAUGUGAAAUACUUCG